rnacentral:tRNA from 1 species
GCAGGCUUAGCCGAAUUGUUAUGCUGUCCGCUUUGUGAGCGGAUAACAAGGGUUCGAUUCCCAUCUGCU